CAAAAAUGGAAAAUCCAACACAUCUCACAGCGCCUUCCAGCCUAUUGAAGAUCUAAGUGAAGCAUUGAUCGGAAAGUGUUUACCACCUGACUUGCCCAGCUCUGCUCACAUGUGAGUCCCAUCAUGUAUCCAGACCUGGCCCUCCUCAAACCUGCUCCCUGGGCCCCUGCAGCUGAUGGCUCUGUGUUCCUCCCUGAUCCCUCACAUCUGUUUCAAUUAGCUUCCUUACUAUAUAGGUGAGGCCUUUCACAGCUUAAUCAUAAAAAAAUAAAAGUUGUGUAUUUUGUG
ensembl:lncRNA